rnacentral:rRNA from 1 species
UACGUAGGGGGCGAGCGUUACCCGGAAUUACUGGGCGUAAAGGGUGCGUAGGCGGCCCCGUGUGUCCGGUGUAAAAGCCCACGGCUCAACCGUGGAUAUGCGCUGGAAACUGCGGGGCUUGGGUGCGGCAGAGGCAGACGGAACUGCUGGUGUAGGGGUGAAAUCCGUAGAUAUCAGCAGGAACGCCGGUGGAGAAGUCGGUCUGCUGGGCCGUAACCGACGCUGAGGCACGAAAGCUAGGGGAGCGAACCGGAUUAGAUACCCGGGUAGUCCUAGCCGUAAACGAUGCUCACUAGGUGUGGGGCGUAAAGCUCCGUGCUGAAGCUAACGCGUUAAGUGAGCCGCCUGGGGAGUACGCCCGCAAGGGUGAAACUCAAAGGAAUUGACGGGGGCCCGCACAAGCGGUGGAGCGUGUGGUUUAAUUGGAAGCUAAGCCAAGAACCUUACCAGGGCUUGACAUGCUGGUGGUACCGAGCCGAAAGGUGAGGGACCCUGCCGUUUGGUAGGGAGCCAGCACAGGUGGUGCACGGUCGUCGUCAGCUCGUGCCGUGAGGUGUUGGGUUAAGUCCCGCAACGAGCGCAACCCCUGCCCUUAGUUGCCAGCGCGUAAGGCGGGCACUCUAAGGGGACUGCCGGCGACGAGCCGGAGGAAGGAGGGGAUGACGUCAGAUACUCGUGCCCCUUAUGCCCUGGGCGACACACGCGCUACAAUGGGGUGGACAGCGGGACGCGAGCCAGCAAUGGUGAGCAAAUCCCUUAAACCACCCCCCAGUUCAGAUUGUGGGCUGCAACCCGCCCACAUGAAGCCGGAAUCGCUAGUAAUCGCGGAUCAGCCAUGCCGCGGUGAAUACGUUCCCGGGCC